UACGUAGGGGGGCAAGCGUUGUCCGGAAUCAUUGGGCGUAAAGAGCGUGUAGGCGGCCCGAUAAGUCCGCCGUGAAAGUCCAGGGCUCAACCCUGGAAUGCCGGUGGAAACUGUCGGGCUGGAGUCCGGAAGAGGCGAGUGGAAUUCCUGGUGUAGCGGUGAAAUGCGCAGAUAUCAGGAGGAACACCAAUGGCGAAGGCAGCUCGCUGGGACGGUACUGACGCUGGAGACGCGAAAGCGUGGGGAGCAAACAGG
rnacentral:rRNA from 1 species